CGUAACGCCAUCUGGAGGAUAGCUAGGCUCGGACGCUGAAGAAGGGCGCGGCAAGCCGCGAAAAGCCUCGGGUAGGUGCAUGCAACCUUAGAUCCGAGGGUGCCUGAAUGGGACUUCCCGCCAUAGCUUGACUAUGGCACUCCUCACUGGGAG
rnacentral:rRNA from 1 species